CUGCCACAACGGCUUCCUGGCGUGGCGGGAAUUGACCCUAAUGGAGCA
rnacentral:ncRNA from 1 species